rnacentral:lncRNA from 1 species
UGUUCAUACUGCCUUUUGUACUCUGGUGUUUGUGGGAUUAUCUGGACCUUUGCCAGAAAUGGUAAAGGGUAUGUGCAUAGAGCCUGAGAUGCUCUGCCGGCCCCCCCUCUGACUUCACCUAGACGUGGGUGGAUGGAGCUCCCAGACGUGGGAGACUUCUGUCUGGUGGUCAUUCAGAAAUGGAUGAUUCACAUUCUGUCUGCGGUCCCACUGCACCUUCUGUAUGUUUGAUAUGAUAUCCAGAGCUUUGGUUAUAUGUUUCUGUACAUGCUUUGGAUAAGAAUUAUAUGAAUGCAAUGUCAAAUACGACGUUUGAGCUUCUGUUUGGUAUUUGCUAUUGAUAUGCUCCGAAAUGUUCCAUACGCCGUUGAUAUGCUUCGGAACAUUUUAUACGCCACUGAUAAGCUCCGAAACGUUUCAUUUGUUGUUGUUAUACUCUGAAACGUUUCAUUCGUUGUUGAUAUGCUCCGAAAGAUUUCAUCUGUUAUUGGCAUGCUCUGAAAUGUUCUAUAUGCCGUUGAUAUGCUCCGGAACAUUUUAUACUCUAUUGAUAUGCUCCAAUUACUCUAUGAUCUGUUUGUUAAGAACCAAAAAUGUCGAUUGAAAUGAUAUGUGUGAUUCUACACCUAAUGAGAUUUGGUUUAUGG